UUUUUCUUCCCAUUUUUUAGAUUUGGGUAUGAAAUGUUACUUUUGAUUGAGUUUUUUUGUUGGAUAGGUUUAGAUUUAAUUCGUUUUUGUUUUGGGUUUUUGGAUUCUCUGCCAAAACGUUUUUUGUCAAAUUUAUAAAUAUGCAAAAACUCUCUACUGUUUUUUGUUUUUUGAAACUUCAAACCGUUGAGUUUCCCCUGUUGAGACGUCUAGGAUUCUUCUUUGACCCCUUUUGAAAAAUAGACGGCUCUAUUCUCUUUCUUUGAUGCUUUCGUCUCAAAUUAUCAUCUCUGGUUCUUACAAAAACAAAACAGUCGGUUCUAUCAUUGUUUUUUCUACAGUUUGGCGUGGACUACAAAAAAGCAUAGGCGUAGGGGAGAUGGAGAGACAUCUCAGGCCAGCACCAUUAUCGGACUCUAACCACCAUAAAAUUUGCAUCCCUCAACUGGCGGUACACUGUUACAGGUGGGUAUUCUUUGCUUAGGGAUCCGUAGUACAACAAAGGACUUACCAAUGCUUUGGUCAUUCAGUUGACUCAUUGCUGCCAGUCUGUACUUGCUGUCAUGCUAGCAAAAACAGGGAUUUAGCCGGUUUUACAUAUUAUUGAAUUUGAACCAAUGACUCGCCGUAUGAAAGCGAACCGCUGAGUCAAGUAAGUCAAGCUGAGUCAAAUCAGAGAAAAAGACUCCUAUAAGAGAGCCGUUUGGGAAGAUGGUAUAUGGGAUGGAUGUCGUCUACAAGAGUGACGUAGAAGGAUAUAUUUAGUUAUUGUUUUGGGAUGUUAUUCUAUUUGGUCAAAGAGAACUUUUAAAUCCUCUUAUUAUUGUUGAGAUUUGUAGAUUGUACAUAUUUGUUUUACUGUGAUUAAAUAAAGGUUAAUUGAUGCAUUUUCUUAGAGAUAAUUAUUAUUGUAGAUGUUUAAAUGAAGCAGAGCAUGAACACUGACUGAACCCUACUGAAUUGUUAUAGCAAUGUUAACUAUUGUUUGUCCAA